UAAGACUGUUAAAUUUGACUUUUUUUAACGUCUUUUUUUUUUUUUUUUUUUUUUUUGGGAGCACAAUUGGGGGAGAGGGACAGAAGGGAAAAGAGAGAAUCCUUUUUUUUCUUUAAGUUUAUUUAUUUUGAGAGGUGAGGGGGAAGAGGGACAGAGGGAGAGGAGAGAGAAUCCCAAGCACGCACAGCCCAAUGCAGGGCUCAAUCUCAUGAACCAUGAGAUCAUGACCUGAGCCAAAAUCAAGAGUUGGAUGCUCAAUCGACUGAGCCACCCAGAAGCCCCAAGACUGUUAAAUUUAACUUUUAUUGUUUGUACCAAAAUACUUUCCCAAGAAAUUGAUUUCCAAAAUGGUCAUAGAUAUCAAUCAAAAGUAUUUCAAAAACAAAACAAACAAAAAAGAGGCACAAGGGCCUUCUUGUGGUUUUGUAAAAGUGCCACUCUGCCAACCUGUUAAGCCUGUCCUGUCUCCUGGUCCACACCACCUACUUCCUGCACUCAGCUGUCCUUUCUGUAAGGUUAACAACUGUGUCUUGUGUAGGCUUACCACAGGAACUGGGGCAUAGUAGGUUCCAACCCAUUUUUGAAUGGAUACAUGAUAGUAGCACAAACACUGAUGCCUAUAGAGAAUAAAGUGACUUCUCACAACUACACACACUCAUGAAGUGCUGAAGCUUUGUAGUCAGAUUACACAGAAAAGGAGUCAAAGUAGGAAAAUUCCUUGUUGUUUAUUGGCUAUACUCCCUGCCCAGUCCCCUACCGUAUUGAGCAGCCCAAUCCUAUCCUUGGAAGAGUUCCAGAGAUGGGAAGGGAUGGUGGGAUGAGGAAGCACAGCUUGAGGCUCAGCAGCCACAUUCCUUACCAGAUAGUAGUUGGGACACACUGGGGUUUCAUCUUGUCUCCCUAACUAGAGGACAGACUACUCGUCUCUCCCUACAUCUUCCUCUACCCCACCCUUACUUCAGGCAACAAAACUAGAAGCCAAGGGCUAGAGUUGGGGAAGAUAUCUCGGCAGGAUUUUAUCACAGCAUCAAGCCUAUCACCAUCAGAAUAAAGACAGCCAUCCAGGCUUCUGCAGGAAAGAAACAAAUGAUUACCAACAGGGUUCAGUGGAUUUAGGCUUAGAUAUUCCACUUUGGGGAAUUAUUUAGUAAUCCACUCAUGCAUUCUUUCAACAAAGGUUUCCCACUGUCCCGACAGUCCCUCCCUUGGGGGUGAGAGAUGGAGUACAGGGAUGAAACGUACUCUAGUUCAAUGUGGACCCCACUCAUCUCCUCUCACUUAUUACCUGCCUGACCCUAACCCCCUACUCUAAGUCAUUUCUGUCUAGUCUCAGGUUCUGACAAAGUGUAAAGCUCUAACUGUAAGUACCAACAACCCACAAUGACAACUCUGCUGUGUACUGCUGAGGAAUCUGAGACUCUAAGAGGGUAACUGACUUUUCCCAAGUCACACAGAGAUGAGCAGAGAUAGGAUCCAAGACCAGCACCAGUCAGAACCCAGUGUGCACCCCCCAGACCCUGGUGCACCCGCCAGAAUUUCACACCAAUCCCUGUGUACCAAUCUGCCAAACACGUGCUGCUGGAGGCAUUGAACUCAAACCACAUAGAAAAGAAGAUUGAACUCCAGGAAACAUUCUGACAGGAUUCCCAUUGUUGCAUCAAGAUUGGGCAAGAGGGCUGACCCUUUGUUGAAGCAGGGCCUCACAAUGGUGUGAUGAUGAGUCUUCUGCCUCUAAUAAGAACGGACUUACUAAGAUAGGCUUUUCCAUGAGGGUCGGAGUUUUGGAGGACUGUUAUGAAAGGAGAGACUGUUCCAGACCAGCAAGGAAGAUACACAAAAGUAGGCUGGCACAAGGGACAAACAGACUACAAGAAGAGUGAGCUGGUGUGGCGGGAAAGGUGGGAGUAGGAGGAGAGGAGUAGAAACUGAAUGAGAACAUGAUCCGUGAGGAGAGGGGACCCUUCCUGAGCAGAGGAGAAGCUGAAGAGGAUAUAGGUUUGGGGAGGAUAUGGACCUGGAUUAAGAGAGGAGUGUGAGGACAUGAAGGUAGGAGGGGUCUCAGAGCAGGUCAGUGGGAUGCUUUGCAAGAGGAGUCAGAGAGGCGCCUAAAUGACCCAGUUACCGCUAAUCCGGAUGGGCUCCGAACGCCACCCAGCCAGCGCCGGUCUUCAGGCGCCCUUGCAUCGGAAUCUCCCAGGCUCGAUUUCUCCCAGGCGAACUCUUCUGCCUACAGGUCGGCGGGAGACAAGCAAGCCUCAGGGUAGCGAGGUCCCUCCCCGCCCCAGCAAGGGCGGGCAUUUGCGCGAGACUCCGGGGAGCCAGGUGUGUUCCCCCAAAUCCCGCCCCUUAGGUCAACCACUGGACCCUUGCAACACAAGCCCCGCCUCCGGUUCCUGCCCCCGGCAGGAUAGGCCAAUCCCCAACACCGCCAUCCUCCAGGCCCCGCCUUAGUCCCGCCCCCAGGGUGGCAGCAUUGGUGUAUUGCUACGUGUCUGGCUCCAGUGGGCCGCCUCCACCGGCGCCAGGCGUAGGCUAAGGAAACUGCCAGGAUCCCCCAGGGCUGCCAGCUCACCGGCUGGCAGGGGUGUCCCUCCCGCUUGUCACACAGGGUCACUCGGCUGCUGUUUAUGUACCCAGGAUACAGACGAAAGAGACAGGAUCUGUGCUCAUGGGAACAAACGCACUCAGCACAAGCCACAGACCAAGAGCUAGUGUGGCAUUGGUAGGAAGGUACUGUGGCCUGACAGACACCGCUCCUUCACAAAGUGGUAGAUGGACUUAAUGGUACCAGUCCUAGAGAUCAUCAUCUGGCAAAGGCCUCAUUGGCCACCAGGGCAAAUCUGUCUGGAUCAAUGCUUAUGACUCCGAAAACCAUAUAGAGACGUUUGCCAAGAGGAAAUGGUCUGUUCUCAAGUACAGAUGAGAGCUGAGGGUCCAUGAAGAUGCCCAGGAUGAUGAUGACAUCCCCAGUGCACAGAACAGGGAUGGUGGCAUAUCUGGAGAGUGACCAGAGUGAGACUCUCACCAUGAAACUGCAGAGGGAGGGACAGUCACUCACCUUCUGCCUUGCACCCAAGGUCACUGAACACUGGUAGCCAUAGUAAAUAAGGGGACAGGAGGAGCAAAUCUGCUAACAUUCCUCCUGGACUUUCUGAAAAAUGAGGGGCCGCCUAGGACCAUUGAAGCCAUCCAAGCCAACCUACCUCAUGGUAAUUUACAUAAAGGACCCAUAAUGCAUUACUUCAUGGGAGCAUUUUCUUUUUUUUUGUUUUGUGAUCUCAUAUAUUUCAACCUAGACUUUAUAUUGUUAUAUUACGUACUUUCAUUUAAUUAAUUAAAAUAUAAUUUAUUGUCAAAUUGGCUAAUA